UGGGGAAUAUUGGACAAUGGGCGAAAGCCUGAUCCAGCCAUGCCGCGUGUGUGAAGAAGGUCUUCGGAUUGUAAAGCACUUUAAGUUGGGAGGAAGGGCAUUAACCUAAUACGUUAGUGUUUUGACGUUACCGACAGAAUAAGCACCGGCUAACUCUGUGCCAGCAGCCGCGGUAAUACAGAGGGUGCAAGCGUUAAUCGGAAUUACUGGGCGUAAAGCGCGCGUAGGUGGUUUGUUAAGUUGGAUGUGAAAGCCCCGGGCUCAACCUGGGAACUGCAUUCAAAACUGGCAAGCUAGAGUACGGUAGAGGGUGGUGGAAUUUC
rnacentral:rRNA from 1 species